rnacentral:rRNA from 1 species
AUGCAAGUCGAGCGAACAGAUAAGGAGCUUGCUCCUUUGACGUUAGCGGCGGACGGGUGAGUAACACGUGGGUAACCUACCUAUAAGACUGGGAUAACUUCGGGAAACCGGAGCUAAUACCGGAUAACAUUUGGAACCGCAUGGUUCUAAAGUGAAAGAUGGUUUUGCUAUCACUUAUAGAUGGACCCGCGCCGUAUUAGCUAGUUGGUAAGGUAACGGCUUACCAAGGCGACGAUACGUAGCCGACCUGAGAGGGUGAUCGGCCACACUGGAACUGAGACACGGUCCAGACUCCUACGGGAGGCAGCAGUAGGGAAUCUUCCGCAAUGGGCGAAAGCCUGACGGAGCAACGCCGCGUGAGUGAUGAAGGGUUUCGGCUCGUAAAACUCUGUUAUUAGGGAAGAACAAAUGUGUAAGUAACUGUGCACAUCUUGACGGUACCUAAUCAGAAAGCCACGGCUAACUACGUGCCAGCAGCCGCGGUAAUACGUAGGUGGCAAGCGUUAUCCGGAAUUAUUGGGCGUAAAGCGCGCGUAGGCGGUUUCUUAAGUCUGAUGUGAAAGCCCACGGCUCAACCGUGGAGGGUCAUUGGAAACUGGGAAACUUGAGUGCAGAAGAGGAAAGUGGAAUUCCAUGUGUAGCGGUGAAAUGCGCAGAGAUAUGGAGGAACACCAGUGGCGAAGGCGACUUUCUGGUCUGUAACUGACGCUGAUGUGCGAAAGCGUGGGGAUCAAACAGGAUUAGAUACCCUGGUAGUCCACGCCGUAAACGAUGAGUGCUAAGUGUUAGGGGGUUUCCGCCCCUUAGUGCUGCAGCUAACGCAUUAAGCACUCCGCCUGGGGAGUACGACCGCAAGGUUGAAACUCAAAGGAAUUGACGGGGACCCGCCACAAGCGGUGGAGCAUGUGGUUUAAUUCGAAGCAACGCGAAGAACCUUACCAAAUCUUGACAUCCUUUGAAAACUCUAGAGAUAGAGCCUUCCCCUUCGGGGGACAAAGUGACAGGUGGUGCAUGGUUGUCGUCAGCUCGUGUCGUGAGAUGUUGGGUUAAGUCCCGCAACGAGCGCAACCCUUAAGCUUAGUUGCCAUCAUUAAGUUGGGCACUCUAGGUUGACUGCCGGUGACAAACCGGAGGAAGGUGGGGAUGACGUCAAAUCAUCAUGCCCCUUAUGAUUUGGGCUACACACGUGCUACAAUGGACAAUACAAAGGGCAGCUAAACCGCGAGGUCAUGCAAAUCCCAUAAAGUUGUUCUCAGUUCGGAUUGUAGUCUGCAACUCGACUACAUGAAGCUGGAAUCGCUAGUAAUC